UGCGAGUCGAGAGGGUUCGGCCCUCGGCUGACGGCUCAGUAACACGUGGAUAAUCUGCCCUUAGGUGGAGGAUAAUCUCGGGAAACUGAGGAUAAUACUCCAUAGAUCUAGGAUGCUGGAAUGCAUCUAGAUUGAAAGCUCCGGCGCCUAAGGAUGAGUCUGCGGACUAUCAGGUUGUAGUCAGGGUAAAGACCUGACUAGCCUACGACGGAUACGGGUUGUGAGAGCAAUAACCCGGAGACGAUAUCUGAGACACGAUAUCGGGCCCUACGGGGCGCAGCAGGCGCGAAAACUUCACACUGUGCGAAAGCGCGAUGAGGGAAUCCCAAGUGUUUGCUCGUAAGAGUAAACUGUUUCUUUGUUUAAAACGCAGAGAGAGUAAGGGCUGGGUAAGACGGGUGCCAGCCGCCGCGGUAAUACCUGCAGCUCGAGUGGUGAUCAUUAUUAUUGGGCCUAAAACGUCCGUAGCCGGUUUAGUAAAUGCCUGGGUAAAUCGUGUAGCUUAACUAUACGACUUCCGGGUAGACUGCUAAACUUGAGACCGGGAGAGGCUAGAGGUACUCCUGGGGUAGAGGUGAAAUUCUGUAAUCCUAGGGGGACCACCAGUGGCGAAGGCGUCUAGCUAGAACGGUCUGACGGUG
rnacentral:rRNA from 1 species